AUGAGGUUUUGGUCAUUCUGGGGGAUCUUCCCAGAUUUUUCAGGCUCCAGGAGGAUGACAAUUCCAUCCUCCCUGUUCACAGCCCUGGGACAAAGUGACACAGGGGACGGCUCUGUCCCCACGCGGUGGCCGAAGGACACCCGGCUGCUCCUGGAGGGGGGAAAGGGAGAGGAAAUCUGGGUGAGGAGCAGGGAGAGGGAAUUGGGAAUGUGGGACUUGGAGAUCGGGCAGGAGAGGGUGGAGGGAACUCCUGGACACACACAGAGCCCCCAGGGGUGUCACAGAGAGCCCCAGGGGUGUCACACAGUGUCCCUCAGGGGUGUCACACAGAGUCCCCCAAGGGUGUCACAGAAUGUCCCUCAGGGGUGUCACACAGGGUCCUCAAGGAUGUCGCACAGAGUCCCCAAGGAUGUCGCACACUGUCCCCAAGGGGUGUCACAAGCUGUCCCUCAGGGGUGUCGCACAGGGUCCUCAAGGAUGCCACACACUGUCCCCAAGGGGUGUCACACAGAGUCCCCAGGGAUGUCACACAGAGUCCCCCAAGGGUGUCAAACAAAGUCCCCAGGGGUGUCACACAGAGUCCCCCAAGGGUGUCACAGAAUGUCCCUCAGGGGUGUCACACAGGGUCCUCAAGGAUGUCGCACAGAGUCCCCAAGGAUGUCGCACACUGUCCCCAAGGGGUGUCACAAGCUGUCCCUCAGGGGUGUCGCACAGGGUCCUCAAGGAUGCCACACACUGUCCCCAAGGGGUGUCACACAGAGUCCCCAGGGAUGUCACACAGAGUCCCCCAAGGGUGUCAAACAAAGUCCCCAGGGGUGUCACACAGAGUCCCCCAAGGGUGUCACAGAAUGUCCCUCAGGGGUGUCACACAGGGUCCUCAAGGAUGUCGCACAGAGUCCCCAAGGAUGUCGCACACUGUCCCCAAGGGGUGUCACAAGCUGUCCCUCAGGGGUGUCGCACAGGGUCCCCCAAGAAUGUCGCACAGAGUCCCCAGGGGUGUCAUACAGGUCCCGCUCCCCAGGGCUCGAAACAUUUGGCGAAUUCCCCGUCUGUGUUUUGGUGUCUGGGCCGGGAGCGGAGCGGGGAGGGCGGGAUGGAGGAGGAGGAGGAGGAGGAGGGGGAGGAAGAGGAGGGGGAGGGGGCCCAUCUGGAGCACCGAGAGCUGCAGGAUGCGGCGCUGGCGGGGGCUCGGCUGCGCUGGCAGCGCCGGGCGAUCAACCCCCCCCCCCCCCCCCCCCCCCCCCCCCCCCCCCCCCCCCCCCCCCCCCCCCCCCCCCCCCCCCCCCCCCCCCCCCCCCCCCCCCCCCCCCCCCCCCCCCCCCCCCCCCCCCCCCCCCCCCCCCCCCCCCCCCCCCCCCCCCCCCCCCCCCCCCCCCCCCCCCCCCCCCCCCCCCCCCCCCCCCCGGGGGCUCGGCGGCGCUGGCAGCGCCGGGCGAUCAAUACGUGACAAUCCGAGGGAAGGUGACCUUGAGCGGCUCAGCGAGCGGGGAGGAGGGAGGCAGAGCCAGGAAUUCCGCAUGGAAAUGCUCCCCGGGCGAGGGAGGAGGGAUGGAGGGGAGCACAGGGAUGCAGGGGGGCUCUGUGCCCCCCCGGCUGCUCCGGGACAGGAUCCCGCUGCUCCAGGAGCGCUGGGGACAGUCCCCAGGAGGGGUGGCCCUUCCCAGCGAGGACACGAUCAAUAACUGCCCCAAUAAUCAAUAA
ensembl:lncRNA